CAAAAUGAGUAGAUGACACAUACGUCUCGCUGGAGAGCCAUAAGCUGACCCAGGCAGUUUGGCAGACAGCACUCGCUCCGUUCACACCGGGAAUCUCAGCCCUUUUGCUGCACAUGCAGCUUCUCAGCAUCUUGCUGUAUCAGUAUUGAAAUCUGUGCUCUCCUAUCUAUUAGAAAUUUCACCAGUUGCCUUUGAGGACAGACUGGAAUCAAAAUAGGCGGGCCAUCAUAGCUUGUCCAUUGAUAAACCUCCCGUUGCCGGACAGGCAGACCCAAUUGGCCAAUUUUUUGCUUCCUGCCUUUAUGGGAACUUUGAGAUCACAGCCUGAAGCAGUGAUAGAGCACCUGGUGACGGGUGUAGCCAGCCCUGCAAGCACAGGUGGAAGGAAUUCACCUGUGGGACCAGAUGGGGCUGAGCCUGUCUCCACCCCUCCCUAACCUCAUUUAAGGUCUGGCAGGCCCAGAGGCAUUGUCUUUUUCUGGAGGCUGCCUCCUGUGGAUUGCUGAGUGAGCCCUGGUCCUUGGAAAAAAAGUGGCAGCAGAGAGCUGCAGCGCCCCCGAGUGCUGUAACGACUGCACAGAGAGACGUGCGGGUCUUCACGGGAACAGCAAGGAACCGAAAGCUGCAUUUCCUGGGAUGCCCCGGAACCCCACUUUGCUGACUGGUAAUUGUCUGCCCAGCAGGUGGCAGCAGAGAGCUGCAGCGCCCCCGAGUGCUGUAACGACUGCACGGAGAGACGUGCGGGUCUUCACGGGAACAGCAAGGAACCGAAAGCUGCAUUUCCUGGGAUGCCCCGGAACCCCACUUUGCUGACUGGUAAUUGUCUGCCCAGCAGGUGGCAGCAGAGAGCUGCAGCGCCCCCGAGUGCUGUAACGACUGCACGGAGAGACGUGCGGGUCUUCACGGGAACAGCAAGGAACCGAAAGCUGCAUUUCCUGGGAUGCCCCGGAACCCCACUUUGCUGACUGGUAAUUGUCUGCCCAGCAGGCAGGUCUUCAGUGAAGAUAUUGGACAGAACAGGCCUGAAGAACACUCAGGAUGGCAUACCAGC
ensembl:lncRNA